GGAAUACUGAGGCAGGUCAAUAGAGACAGGUGAGGAAUACUGAGGCAGAUCAAUAGAGACAGGUGAGGAAUACUGAGGCAGGUCAAUAGAGACAGAUGACAGGUGAGGAAUACUGAGGCAGGUCAAUAGAGACAGGUGACAGGUGAGGAAUACUGAGGCAGGUCAAUAGAGACAGGUGACAGAUGGGGAAUACUGAGGCAGGUCAAUAGAGACAGAUGACAGGUGAGGAAUACUGAGGCAGGUCAAUAGAGACAGGUGACAGGUGAGGAAUACUGAGGCAGGUCAAUAGAGACAGGUGACAGAUGGGGAAUACUGAGGCAGGUCAAUAGAGACAGGUGACAGGUGAGGAAUACUGAGGCAGGUCAAUAGAGACAGAUGACAGGUGAGG
ensembl:lncRNA